GCAACAAUCCAGGACAAAGAGGGUGCGAGACAGCUGAAAACUUAACCCUCAAGAGCCACUGAGGGCUUGUUUUCCUUCUCCCAGUGACUGGUUUUCCAAUUUGAUGUAGUCGAGCUCCGCAAGUCUCUCACUGCCUCGCUACUGAGCCUCCUGGCUGAAACACUAGAAGUGCCAUGUGAAAUGGUCACAGGCUGAGGAGUUUUCAAGACAAGAUCCACUGCCUGCUGUAGAAACGGCAUCAAUGGGUAAGCAGGGCUUUGGGAAGGCAAAGCCUCCAUCUUUCACACCAGCAUAGGAGCCUCCAGUUGUGUUUCGGCGAAGUCUGGUAAGGAGAAGCCUCCCUCAGGAGCAAAUCUACAAGCCAAAGGCAUGACUUCCUUCGCUCAAAAAAGGACCCAGAACACUGCAUCAGCGGGAUGGAUCUCCUCCCUUUAUAUGGUUCGGCUGUUCCAGCGCUUUCAUCAUCUCAGAAGGAUAAAAGGGAAGGAAAGAGAAAGAAGACCCAGAGACCCAUUACAGGUCCUCUAACAGGGUGGUUGCCAGCUCAGGCGCAGCAUCCUCCUGUACCCUUCCAAAUGAAAUGAAGACAGGUGGAGUUUUUGCCUAUGGAAAAAGCAACUUCUGAAGAGAAGAGGUUCUUAUCAGCAUAUACAGGGAGUAACCCCAACAACUGCAGUACAGUACUCACCAAAUCCUGUUUCCCAACUCACAUCCUACUUCAGGUCACUCUGGAAACCCUCCCACUGAAAUUGGGUCAUAUUUACUCCGCAUGAGUAAGGCCCCUUGAUCUGGGAGGGUGAGGAAGGUUUCCCCUUGGGUACUCACCAGGGUCUUGUUUGAU